GUAAACUUAGUAUAAUUUAUUAUAUUGGAUUUAGGAUCCUGGGAUUUUUGUUUACU
rnacentral:tRNA from 1 species